UUCCGGUUGAUCCUGCCGGACCCCACUGCUAUUGGGGUGAGACUAAAACAUGCAAGUUGUGCGCCCUGAGCUAUGGCAGGACGCAGCGCACGGCUCAGUAACACGUGGCUAACCUACCCUUAGGACGGGAACAACUUCGGGAAACUGAGGCUAAUUCCAGAUAGGCGAGGAGGCCUGGAAUGGUUCCUCACCAAAAGGACAUCGUGACCAUGCUUCUCGACGUCGCCUAAGGAUGGGGCCGCGGCCGAUCAGGUAGUUGGUGAGGUAAUGGCUUACCAAGCCUAUAACCGGUACGGGCCAUGAGAGUGGUAGCCCGGAGAUGGGCACUGAGACAAGGGCCCAGGCCCUACGGGGUGCAGCAGUUGCGAAACCUCCGCAAUGCGCGAAAGCGUGACGGGGCUACCCCGAGUGCCGUCCGCUGAGGAUGGCUUUUCCCCGGUGUAAUGAGCCGGGGGAAUAAGGAGAGGGCAAGUCUGGUGUCAGCCGCCGCGGUAAUACCAGCUCUCCGAGUGGUAGGGACAAUUAUUGGGCUUAAAGCGUCCGUAGCCGGCUUAGCAAGUCUUCUGUUAAAUUCAGCGACUUAAUCGUUGAGCCGCGGGAGAUACUACUAGGCUAGGAGGCGGGAGAGGCCGACGGUAUUCCCGGGGUAGGGGUGAAAUCCUAUAAUCCCGGGAGGACCACCAGUGGCGAAGGCUGUCGGCUAGAACGCGCUCGACGGUGAGGGACGAAAGCUGGGGGAGCGAACCGGAUUAGAUACCCGGGUAGUCCCAGCCGUAAACGAUGCGGGCUAGGUGUUGAGGUGGCUACGAGCCACUUCAGUGCCGCAGGGAAAGCCAUUAAGCCCGCCGCCUGGGGAGUACGGCGCAAGGCUGAAACUUAAAGGGAAUUGGCGGGGGAGCACACAGGCGUGAAGCUUGCGUUCAAUUGGAGUCAACGCGGG
rnacentral:rRNA from 1 species